rnacentral:sRNA from 69 species
UGUAUCUGAAGCCUGACGAGGAUGAGAACCUCCGGGGGCAAGAGGUUCGACCCGAGCGAAGCGAGAGAACGUUGCGUCAGCAACGGCCCGCAGGGCGAGCCAUCCUCUAUCACCGGCAG